rnacentral:lncRNA from 1 species
CGCGCGACGUUUGUAAUCCAACACAAGAAAAAAAAUCGACGCUCCUUCAAAGCAGUUGACUCAUGUUUUGAAAACACUUUUGUGCCAAAAAAAAAACACUUGGGAGUUAUGACAUUUUUUUUUCCUGGAGCGUAGAGGCAUCGUAAUAUCAAGGCUAAUCUUUUGAGAGCUCAGGAGAUGACGAAGAAGUCUGGUAAGUAUGUACAUAUUUAUUUGUUCGACCAACG